UACGAAGGGGGCGAGCGUUGUUCGGAAUUACUGGGCGUAAAGGGCGCGUAGGCGGCCUGCUAAGUCGAACGUGAAAUCCCCGGGCUCAACCCGGGAACUGCGUCCGAUACUGGUUGGCUUGAAUCCGGGAGAGGGAUGUGGAAUUCCAGGUGUAGCGGUGAAAUGCGUAGAUAUCUGGAGGAACACCGGUGGCGAAGGCGGCAUCCUGGACCGGUAUUGACGCUGAGGCGCGAAAGCCAGGGGAGCAAACGGG
rnacentral:rRNA from 1 species